GGACUCGGGGGGAAGUAUGCUCGCAAGAGUGAAACUUAAAGGAAUUGACGGAAGGGCACCACCAGAUGUGGAGCCUGCGGCUCAAUCUGACUCAACACGGGAAAACUUACCAGGUCAAGACAUAGUCAGGAUUGACAGAUUGAAGUUCUUUCUUGAUUCUAUGCAUGGUGGUGCAUGGCCGUUCUUAGUCGGUGGAGUGAUUUGUCAGGCUAAUUCCGAUAACGGACGAGACCUCAGCUUUCUAAAUAGUCGCAGCUAAUCCGUUAGCUAUCUUACGAACGCGACUUCUUAGAGGGACAAUCUGCUUCCAGCAGACGGAAGAUUGAGGCAAUAACAGGUCAGUGAUGCCCUUAGAAGCUCUGGGCUGCACGCGCGCUACAAUAGCUCAAUCAAUAAGUAAAGCCUUUUUCGAAAGAAAUGGGUAAUCUAUAAAUCGAGCUUGAGUGGGGAUAGAAGAUUGCAAUUGUUCUUCUUGAACAAGGAAUAUCUAGUAAACGCGAGUCAUCAACUCGCAUUGAUUACGUCCCUGCCCUUUGUACACACCGCCCGUCGCUUCUACCGAUUGAAUAAUCAGGUGAACCGAGUGGAUUACUGUUUUUUCACAGUAAAAAGCUUUGUAAAUCUUAUUAUUUAGAGGAAGACAAGUCGUACAAGGAAGGGCGAAUUCCACAUUGGG
rnacentral:rRNA from 1 species